GGCGUUGAAUCAACAGACUGUUUCGGUAUGCAGCCGGUUGUGGAGCCUGUCCUUGGGUUAUGCGGCAACCUCAAACCGAAUAGGUUUUUCAAGACUGAACGAAAACGCUUU
rnacentral:sRNA from 1 species